rnacentral:rRNA from 1 species
AACGAACGCUGGCGGCAUGCCUAACACAUGCAAGUCGAACGAUUGCCUUCGGGUGAUAGUGGCGCACGGGUGCGUAACGCGUGGGAAUCUGCCCUUAGGUUCGGAAUAACAGCUGGAAACGGCUGCUAAUACCGGAUGAUAUCGCGAGAUCAAAGAUUUAUCGCCUGAGGAUGAGCCCGCGUUGGAUUAGGUAGUUGGUGGGGUAAAGGCCUACCAAGCCGACGAUCCAUAGCUGGUCUGAGAGGAUGAUCAGCCACACUGGGACUGAGACACGGCCCAGACUCCUACGGGAUGCAGCAGUGGGGAAUAUUGGACAAUGGGCGCAAGCCUGAUCCAGCAAUGCCGCGUGAGUGAUGAAGGCCCUAGGGUUGUAAAGCUCUUUUACCCGGGAAGAUAAUGACUGUACCGGGAGAAUAAGCCCCGGCUAACUCCGUG